UGUUUCUGGAGGCUUCCUGGGGCUGCGUGGAGGCAGAGGGGAGAGGGGGGAAGAACGAAGAAGAAGAACAGGCGCCAUCCGCUUGCUUCCUUCCCCUUCUCUCCCCCCCCCCCCCCCGCCGCCGGCGCCUCUCUCCACGGGUGCGCGCCGACAGGCCAUCGCGUCGCUGUGCCCGUGCGUGCGUGCGUGCCGGAGGAGUUUGACGUCUCCGGCGACAACGGCAUGGAUGCCGGGGCAGAGAAGUGCCGCGACACCGCGGCGGCUGCCGGCAGCGACCUCUACGCCGUCCUUGGGCUCAAGAAGGAGUGCUCCGACACCGAGCUGAAGGUCGCCUACCGGAAGCUCGCCAUGAGAUGGCACCCAGACAAAUGCUCCUCCUCCAGCAGCGUGAAGCACCUGCAGGAAGCCAAGGAGAAGUUCCAAGAAAUCCAGAGCGCCUAUUCCGUCCUCUCCGACGCCAACAAGCGUUUCCUCUACGACGUGGGUGUAUACGACAAUGAGGACGAUGAGGACAGCCUGCAGGGAAUGGGGGACUUCAUUGGUGAGAUGGCCCAGAUGAUGAGCCAGGCGCGUCCGACGAGGCAGGAAAGCUUUGAGGAGCUGCAACAGCUGUUUGUGGACAUGUUCCAGUCUGAUCUUGAUUCAGGAUUCUGCAAUGGGCCUACCAAGGGCCAUCAGGUGCAUGGGCAAGCCCAAAGUAGAACAUCCUCAACCUCACCUUCAUCAUCACCGUCUCCUCCGCCUACUAUAGUAACGGAGGCAGAGGUGCCAUCAUGUAAUGGCUUCAAUAAGCGGGGUUCAUCAGCAAUGGACCCGGGGAAACCUCCAAGACUAGUUGAUGCUGGGGUGAGUCAGAGCCAGGCUGGCUUUUGUUUUGGGGUCUUAGUGGACCCUGUUCAUGUUUGGACCUAAGCCCUUCACAGCGUUUAGUAGUCAUAACUCAUAAUGACCACAUGAUUGUCCAAUAAACUGUGAAGGACCUUGCUGAAACUUUUCACAUUGAUUGGGCGGCUCCACGAAGGAGCUGUGAAAAGCUCCACCACUAGAUCUAUCUUGGCAUGAGGACUUGCUUAGCAGAUAAUGACAGAUGAGCGACACAAAGCAAGCUCAGAAGAUGCGAGGCCCAAACACCAGCCGGAGGAGGAACGGCCGGAAGCAGAAGUUGUCAUCGAAGCAUGAUGUUUCAUCCGAAGAUGACACCGCAGGUUCUCAGCAUCAGCAGGACGUAGCAGUUUGACCCCUGGUGUAGUUAUUCGUUGGUCCUUGGCCGUGUCAAGGACCCUAGUGCAGCCAGGGCACAGCAUGUUGCCUUUGCCAGCUGCCGUGAUCUGAAGAGGAGUUUAGCUCAUCAUAGGCCUUACCUUGAGUGAGACCUCCAUGUGAAAUUCGUCGACGCUUCCGCAAUUUUCUUUCUCCGCAUGUGUUGCCUGGUGUACCAAGACAGUGACUUCCAAUUGAUUCAGUUCUUAUUGACAUCUACCAUAAGUUGUGGCU